rnacentral:rRNA from 1 species
CGGUAAUUCCAGCUCCAAUAGCGUAUAUUAAAGUUGCUGCAGUUAAAAAGCUCGUAGUUGGAUCUUGGAAGGGGGUCGCUCGGUCGGCCGUGAGGUCUGUUACUGAGCGGCUCUGUCAUUACAUUUCUCAGAGACCUGUCGUGUACUUAACUGUGCGCGGCAUGGGAUUUGGGACGUUUACUUUGAAAAAAUUAGAGUGUUCAAAGCAGGCUUUUCAAGCCCGAGUACAUGAGCAUGGAAUAAUGGAAUAGGACCGCGGUUCUAUUUUGUUGGUUUCUACGACCGCAGUAAUGAUUAAGAGGGACAAUUGGGGGCGUCCGUAUUUCGUUGUCAGAGGUGAAAUUCUUGGAUUUACGAAAGACGAACAACUGCGAAAGCAUUUGCCAAGAGUGUUUUCAUUAAUCAAGAACGAAAGUUAGAGGAUCGAAGACGAUCAGAUACCGUCCUAGUUCUAACCAUAAACGAUGUCGACUAGGGAUUGGCGGGCGUUAAUUAACACGACCCCGUCAGCACCUUACGGGAAACCAAAGUUUUUGGAUUCCGGGGGAAGUAUGGUUGCAAAACUGAAACUUAAAGGAAUUGACGGAAGGGCACCACCAGGAGUGGAGCCUGCGGCUUAAUUUGACUCAACACGGGAAAACUCACCAGGUCCAGACAUAGUAAGGAUUGACAGAUUGAGAGUUCUUUCUUGAUUCUAUGGGUGGUGGGGCCUGGCCGUUUUUAAUUGGUGGAACGAUUUGUUUGGUUAAUUUCGAUAACGAACGGGGCUCUGGCCUUUAUAAUUAGUGCGCGACAAUGGAUGCGCUCGGCGUAGUCCAUCUUAGAAGAGGGUCAAGUGGCCAUCAGGCAGGAGGGAGUGAGCAAUAACAGGUCUGUGAUGCCCUUAGAUGUCCGGGGCUGCACGCGCGUUACACUGACUCGCUCAGCGUGCACAUACCCUAGGCCGACAGGCGCGGGUAAUCCGGUGAACUCCCUUCGUGAUGGGGAUCGGGGAUUGCAAUUAUUAAUCAUGAACGAGGAAUUCCCAGUAAGUGCGGGUCAUCAGUUUGCAAUGAUUAAGUCCCUGCCCCUUGUACACACCGCCC